AUUGAACGCUGGCGGAAUGCUUUACACAUGCAAGUCGAACGGCAGCACGGACUUCGGUCUGGUGGCGAGUGGCGAACGGGUGAGUAAUAUAUCGGAACGUAUCCAAUAAUGGGGGAUAGCUAAUCGAAAGGUUGGCUAAUACCGCAUACGUCCUACGGGAGAAAGCUAGGGACCUUCGGGCCUGGCGUUAAUGGAGCGGCCGAUAUCUGAUUAGCUAGUUGGUGAGGUAAAGGCUCACCAAGGCGACGAUCAGUAGCUGGUCUGAGAGGACGACCAGCCACACUGGAACUGAGACACGGUCCAGACUCCUACGGGAGGCAGCAGUGGGGAAUUUUGGACAAUGGGCGCAAGCCUGAUCCAGCCAUUCCGCGUGAGUGAAGAAGGCCUUCGGGUUGUAAAGCUCUUUCGCAAGGGAAGAAAACUUAUCCUCUAACAUAGGAUGAGGUUGACGGUACCUUGAUAAGAAGCACCGGCUAACUACGUGCCAGCCGCCGCCGUAAAAC
rnacentral:rRNA from 1 species